rnacentral:rRNA from 1 species
CUAUUUGAUUGUGCCCUUACUACAUGGAUAACCGUAGUAAUUCUAGAGCUAAUACAUGCGAAAAGUCCCGACUUCGGAAGGGAUGUAUUUAUUAGAUUAAAAGCCAAUGCGUUUAACGACGCUUUUCGGUGAUUCAUAAUAACUGUUCGAAUCGCACGGCCCUUGUGCCGGCGAUGUUUCAUUCGAGUUUCUGCCCUAUCAACUUUCGAUGGUAAGGUAUUGGCUUACCAUGGUUACAACGGGUAACGGAGAAUUAGGGUUCGAUUCCGGAGAGGGAGCCCGAGAAACGGCUACCACAUCCAAGGAAGGCAGCAGGCGCGCAAAUUACCCAAUCCCGAUUCGGGGAGGUAGUGACAAUAAAUAACGUUGCAGGCGCCAACGGCUUCUGCAGUCGGAAUGAGUACAAUAUAACACCCUUAACUAGGAACAAUUGGAGGGCAAGUCUGGUGCC